AACUGCGGGCGAGUGGCGGUGGGUUCUGGUCAAGGCCCUGGGGACGCGGACCCUGGGGAGAAAAGCGAGCCCUGAGAGCUCUACGAGAAGAGCCGGCGCUCGGAGGGGGAGGGGCAGCUGCAGGGGCUGCCGGGCGGUCCCGCCCCUAGCUUGGGUCGGGACCCAGGCUCCGCAGGAGCACAAUCUCGAGAGUAGCUUUUGCUAUUCCUUCGGAGCCUUGAAAGUGGUGUAGCUUCGGGUGGACUUGCGGAGGACCAAGACCUUGAGAAGAUCGCGAUUGCUCUCCAGUCAUCGGACCCAGACCUAAGGUUAGUUCCCUGAGGAGAUUUUCAGAGAUGGACUCCACUCUAACAGCACGAGAGAUCCGAGAGCGGUUUAUAAAUUAUUUCAAACGAAAUGAGCACACCUAUGUCCACUCCUCCGCCACCAUCCC
rnacentral:lncRNA from 1 species